CCCGGGGCCUCGCGCAAGCGCCCGGCAAGGAGAACAGGCCCGCGGCAGCUCCCCUCACCGUGACUGACGAAACUGCUGCCCAAUGGAGCUGCCGGGCUGGAGCCGGGGCUCCCCAGCAGUGCCCCGAUGCUGCAAAAACAGAUCUACAAGUGUGAAAGCAGUAGGCUGCAAGAAUUAGAGUAAAUCUGCUGACUCCAAAGUAUGAAAAAGCCAGGCCCACAAAAUGGAAAGAGAAGAUGUCAGAGACCCUCUGGAAGAAGUACAAGGAGCAAUGCAGCGGAUGUAGAGGGGGAAUAUCUUCUGUUAAUGGGCCAUUAAGGCUCACCAAUGACACGACACAUUCCAUCAUCCCAUUGUGAGAUGCUCCACCCAGUGAGGGGGAGCCAACCAUUUCUACCAAGAUAAAAACUGAGAUGUAAGAACACCAAGCAGUUGGUUUUCCACUGGAUUCUCAGAGGAGGACCAGACCCAUCUCAUCAGCACUGGACCCUUUUUUCCUACAUGAUCAUCGCUACUCCCCAGAACAACACCUGUUACUCCAGGAAGACUUAUUUGGACUGCUUCCAGCACCCUGACAACAGGGUGUCAGGUCAUAUCUCAGACUCUGUCAGGGUGUUCUAGGACUUCUGUUUUUUGUUUGUUUGUUUGUUUGUUUGUUUGUUUUGUUUGUGGUUUUGUUUUGUUUUUGUUUUUGUACUACUGCAUUUGUAUUUUUAAUAUUCCUAGUAAAAAAACUGUUAUUCCAAUUCCCAAAUUUUAGCUUGAAAGCCCUUAAUUUCAAAAUUAUAGUAAUUUAGAGGGAGGAGGUUUACACUCUCCAUUCCAAGGAGAGUUCCAACUUUCCCUGACAGGUACCUGUCCUGCCAAACCAAGACAUGAAUCAGAAAAACUUUGUCUGUAAUAUAUAUACAUUAUUAUAUAUCCACUCAGGGAGUGUUACAAGCCUGGUAGGCCAAGUCACCUGUAGCCAUCACCAUUCAACUCCUGAAGGGAACAGAUAAUGUUUGUGUACAGGAGGAACCGUGGUAACAGACAUACAGAUAAGUAUGAACAGAGAAAGACCACAGUAACAAGAAACAUUUCUUCUGAAGAAGGUCUUUUUUAGCUCUAGUAAUAAAGUUGCAUUUCUGUGCUAUGGAUGUAUUUCGAACUUGUUAUGCAAAAUCUGUGUUAAAAAACCCAAUAAACUGGGCCUACUUUAAUAGCUAUUAGGUGGAAAUUAGUGUCUUUUGGGGAACAAUUAGAGCUCCUCCUAGUGCCUUUGGAGUAAUAUUGUAGAGGAGAUGUACCAAUUACACUCAAAAUACCUUGCAAUUUUCACAGAAAUAAAAAGUAAUUAACAGCUUGUCUUAGUAAGUCUCAUUAUCUAAGUUCUGAACUGUUUCAAGGCUAGGAUUUUAACUGGAAAAUCAUUGGAAAGCUUUCCCUUAAGAACUAUUACCUUUUCCUUUUUAUCUCUCCAUCUUAUAUAAACAGAUUUUAGAGUACUUGUUUGUGAUACUGCUGCUGGGGAAAACAGUUACAUUUUUGGUUUAUUAGAGCCAACAAGACAACUAGGAGAACUGGAUAAAUCUGUGCAUUUUCAUGAUGAGACUGUUUGAAAUUACCCAUCAGCAUGUGUAAUCAUUUUCUGUUUAUCUUAUAUUUUCAAAACAAAUGUAUACUCUAAAGGAUAUUAGCUAGCUAAUUGUGGUUAGAGCCUAAGCUUUAUAUGCCAAUAAAUCAAACUGAGAGAGAAUUCUUCUAGCCUAUUUUAUACUAUUGUUCCUGAAUUCUGAAUUGCUUUGUAAAGCAAAAAUUUACUGUAGCAAAGACAUAUAAAUGCUAAGUAGUACUUUAGUAAUGGAAUAGCAUUCAUAAUUAUCAUACUCUAUAUAAAUAUAAGGGUUUGUUCAGCCUGGAAAAGAGAAGACAAGGUCUAGGGAUGACCUAAUUGUGGCCUUCCAGUACCUGAAAGGAGCCUACAAGAAAGAUUGAGAGGGACUUUUUACAAGGGUGUGUAGUGAUAGGACAUGGGGGAAUGGUUCAAACUGAGAGUAGGUUUACAUUAGAUAUUAGGAAGAAUUUUUUUACUGUGAGGGUGGUGAGGCACUGGAGCAUGUUGCCGAGAGAAGUUGUGGAUAUUUCAUCCCUGGAACUAUUCAAGGCCAGGCUCAAUGGAGCUCUGAGCAACCUGGUCUAAUGGAAAAGUGUUCCUGUCCACUGCAGAGGGGUUGGAACUAGAUGACCUUUAAAGUAAUUUCCAAUUCAAGCCAUUCUUUGAUUCUAUGAAGUAUACUUAAAAUUUCUAUUACACAGUUGAAGCAUAAUGGCAAAUUUAGUUUGAGAAGUUCCACAUGUUCUCUGUCAGACUAGGAGACAGGUAGUUACUGAGUUUGCUCAUGUUAAAAUCACAUUGAUGCCAAAAAGCAGCAGCAAUUACUUUUAGAUGGAUGCAAAAUCCUGUUUUAGUGAAGUAAUAUUAUGGGCUUAAAGCUGGUGAAAGUAUUGAUAUGUGUUAGCUGGACUAUUCUUGAGCUUGAUCAAAAGCUGGCAUUGCAUUGGGAAUUUUGGCAGACAGUGUGACAGAACUAUUCACCUUUGGGAAAUUUCCAGGAUAUUUUGCAUAUUGAAAUCCACUUAAAGGAGAUAAAACCUGGGAAAUUUUUUGCUUCCUGGAAGUGUUGACUAUGGUUUUAUCUCCUUAUAGGUAUAAAUUGAGAAUGUUUAGGUAAUUAAAUGUACUGCUCAAAUGUUUUCACCGUGAUUUAAUUAUCUUGAACCAUGCUUUUCUACUUUCCUGUACUCUUGAGAGAGCAGUUUUAAAAAGCACACAAUUAUUUUACGCUUGAGCUGGCAGAGGAUCCAGGGCUUUUGACAAGGCAGUGGACUCAUUAGACAAUAGAGAUCACACUAAUGAGUGGGGUACCAGUUCUGAAGUGAUGCAGCAGGCAUGGUAUGCAGGUAUGCAUGGGAUGAAGAUUGAUCAUAUUUCAGCUCAGUAUUAAACUGCUCACAGACCACUUGGACAGUUUGUGCAGUGCAAGACCUGUGCUUGUGGCACUAAAGCAGGAACCUGUUUUCAGAGCCUGUGGUCUUCCUUUCCGCUUAAGAAGCAUUGUGCCUACCUAGAAGGCAGCACUGCUAAGAUGCUAUGAUAAAACAUUACUUAUUUAGGGAGAUAAAGAAUGGGAGUUUAAGCCCUAGCCUUUGAAUUAUACCUCUUUUUCUACCUUUGUAAGGCACUGAGUCCCCCCCUAGUUUUUGAGAGGAGCCCAAAAUUGAGCAGAAUUACCCAAUCCUGGAAACUCAGCUAGAAGAGGAAGCAUCUACUUUUCAGGGAUGGCACAUUAAGAGCCUUUUUCUCUUAAGAUGUUUCUGUCUGAUGUUAGUGUCUAGGGCCAUGUAUGUCAAAGGAGGAUUCCUUCACUUGCCAAAAUAAUCUGUAAUGAAACAACAUAUUUAUUAUGCAUAGAAGAGUCGACUGUCUAAAAUUCAAAUGGUUUUGUUUCUUAAUAUGACUUCACCAGGACAGUGAAAAAACCUCAAGAAAAGAUUCUUCUUAAUAUCAGGUUAAAAGGCAGAUUGUAAUGAGGUAUAGAGCACAGAAGUAUACUGUCUUAGCAAUAAGCUGAUGAAAGCAUCAUUAUGAAUGACAUUUUUUGUAUAGAGGAUAUUGUUCAGUUUGAGUGAGUGAAUUGAGAUAUUUCUGAACCUGCUUGGGCAUAAUUUUUUAAGGAUGUCAUUUGGCUUGCAAUAUUCUUAUCUGCAUCAACAAUCACAGUUGAAAGUGGAACCAUAUAUCUCAAGCAGACAUUUAAUUCCUGUAUCUGUUGAAUCUGAAGCUGUCAUCACUCUAAAUAUCUUUUUAGUCUUUCUGUUUGAAUUGUGGUUAACUGCUGAUAUUAUAAAAACAACCACUUCCAAGUAGGUAUAAUGAUAAAAUUCCUAAAUUUGGGUAUCUGCUUCACUAUAGUCACCCCUGUUUGCAUUUGUUCAGGACUUUUUCUGGCUCCUAUUGCCACUUGAAAUGUUUCUGGUGACUCUAUUCUCAUGUGUGACUUUUGACUAAGUGAAUGGAAAAUAAAGUGAACGAUCAACCUUUUACUGUGAAAGACUCUGGUACUUGUGAACAUGUUCUGUUUUUCAUGCAAAGAAUGAUGGAUUAAGUACUAAAGGGAAAGCUACACUUUUUCAUUUGAGGUGUUUUUCUCAAUUUAAGGUCUAGUUCAGGAGUAUUCAAAGUACAAAAUCCAAUGGAGCUUUAGUUGCAUUUGAUAAAAGACCCCAGAUAUUGAAGCAUGUACUCUUGCACAGGACUUGUGGGACACAGAACUAGAUGUUUACUGUGCAUUAGCACAAUAUAUUCUGAAUUACACCAUUUCUGUCAGUAUUUUGAAUGCAUGAUUUAACUAAUAGUCUCCUGCAUGCUGUGUAAAUACUAUCCUUGCCAGGUUAAAUUCUAAUCAUGAAUAGUCACAUUGAUUUCUGGUUGUUGCUGUUAGGUUCAGGAGUUAUCAAUAGAUUGUAAUAGGCUAAA